rnacentral:lncRNA from 1 species
CUGCCUACCUGAAGUGAAGCUUUCCAUGGGUAACUAAUUCUAAUGACCUGGUAUGCUGCAACAAAGCCUAAGCCACGUCUUCAUUGGCAGCUGAAGCCAGUACUGUUACCCCAACAGGAUUACUGAUCAUCUUUGGAAUUCUAUUGGAGAGUAGAGGCCUGCCAUCUUAGUGGCAUGCAGUUAAUGACUCGUAUGGGAAGGUUACUACAAUAUCCAGUUUUGAUCUUCAGCUACCAGGUAUGAACCAUAUGCAUGUGUUCCUAAGUAAUGCCAGGUUUUCAUGCCCUACCUGUAGUAUGCAAAAUUUACUCAUUCUUCUAACAUGUGCAUGGAUUUGUAUAAAUUGAUUAGAGUAUACACUUUAUAAUCAAAGCUGCACGAAUGAGGAUAGUUUAAAUGUAAAGAUGCUGAGAUAGGUUUUUCACUCACUGUUCUUCAUCCUAAGUAUUUUUUGGUAAUUCAUGUAUAUUCAAAGUUUUUGGUAUCAUAUGCAAUCCUAGCCUCUCCUAUUUUAUUUGUUUAGUAGUUGAUCUUUGCCAAUAGAAGAGGAUGUGCACAGAAAUUUUGUAAUGUGAUAUUCACUCCCAUAUUCUGCACAUCUUGUGGUAAAAUUCUGAUCUGUCUGUCUAUGCCUUACUGACAUUGAAAGCUGACUGAACUGGAAAGGGAAAAGCACACUUCAGUUUUUAAAACUUCUUUGUACCACAUUCAAAACAGAAUUUCAUCCAGUCUUCCAGCGCAGUGGCAAACAUCUCAUGACUUGCUGGGAGUUGUGCAUCUAAAGUAUUCUUAGCAAGGAAUGGUUAAUAUUUUGACUUUUUCACUUUUGACUUUAAUAUUAGACUUUUGACUCCAAAUAAAUGUGAAGUUCUUCGAACAUUCUAUUCUACCUUCCAGUGCUUAAAUUAUUGGCAGUGUUUCAAGAGUCCUGCAUCUUAUCAUGGCAAGCAUAAUCUUUCAAGGGAUUCAAACUUUAACUCUCACCUGUGCUUGGCUUUCUUUCUAAAUAAUGGGUCUUGGAGGACUAUAGACAUCUGAUCAGUCUGGCUGAGAGCCUGGACUGCUGAAAGAUAUGAGGCAGCCUGUUUUCAGGCAGUCUUGAAGCAAUCCCUGUAGUUUUGAGCCUGAGAAAGAAUUAACAGUGACUUCUUGCUCAGGAAGAACAAAGAUUGCCUGGAAGCCAGAGAUGAAAGUAUAAGGAAUCACAUUUGGGCUUAGUGGUGAGAGAGAACCAUAAAGAGAGUGACUCCAAUGUGGAGCCCUGUCUGAGUCUCUCUUUAGACAACCGCCUGUAUCACUGUUAAUGAGAUAAACUCAUCAGAGAAUACCUUAAUUUGUGCUCUAGUAUAGAGCAGAUGUGAAAUUGAAGGAGCUAGAAGGGAGAAGCUGUAGUUUGACCAGGUUUAUUCUUCACAGCCAUCUGCAUGUCCAGUCAGCACUUAUAUGAGAAGUGAGUGCCUACAGUGCCUGCUCUCCCCUCCAGAAAGCUUGGCUUGUCCGUUGAUUGUCACCAUUACCCAGAGGUCUUCUUCAUUUUGAAUAUCAGUGACGCUAUCCUUUGUCCUUUUGAUAUUUUUGCUUCUUUCUACCCAGAUUUUACAUUUGUCUUGGCUAGAAAUGUUCAUUUUUCUGUCCUAAAGUCAUGGUCUGUUGUACAUGUACACACGUUCACGCACACACAAACUGCCUGCAAGUUAAAAAAAAAAAAAAAGGUGUGAAGAAAUCCAAUUAUCCUCUGGCUUCAAGGCUUUCGUUUCCAUAGAAGCCAAUAAGAAAGGUUGGAAAUAGUUAGCUCUGUUGGCCACAUUACAUAAUUAAUAUGUGUGACAUGCGUAUGGCUCUCCAAAAGGUAGUUCCAGGGUCAUCAUGUCUACUGAUAGCAUUUACAGCAGUAAUACUAGGAAUAAAAGGGUAUGUUUUAUGCUACAAAUAGUAUGCACAAAGCAUAAAUAAAUUUUAUGCUUUUGGAUAUAAGGAAAAAGUCCUUAACAGUGAGGGAGAUAAAGCACUGGAAGAGAUGUGAUGGAUGCCCAGUCCCUGGAGACAGACAAGCUCAGGUUGGACCAUGCUCUGGGCAACCUGAUCUGGCUGUGGACGUCUCUGUUCAUUGUAGGGGAUUUGGACUAGAUGACCUUUAAAAGCCCCUUCCAACUCUAAGGAUUCUAUGAUUCUAUAAUAGUGUCUUAAAUCUAUCUCUCUUUGAAACACACUGAGGUAUAUUAAGCAUGAAUAAGAACAAGCCAAGAGAGUAGUGGUAGAGAACUUAGAAAGGGAAUAACAUGCCCAAGUUAACCCAGCCACAGUCAAGUAACUUUAGGAAAAGAUUUCAUGUGUCCUACUUUGUGGAGGCAUGUAAAAAGGGAGUAGAUUAAAGGAGAAAUACUUUAAAGAGGCAAUAAAAUGGUGAGUCUAAGCAUUUCUUUUGAGGAUGUGAAGUAAGAAACUGUGGUGGGACAGUCUCCACAGAGCCUCAGGACAGAAGAGAAAUGAAGGCCACCCAGUUAACCUGGUAUUAAUGAACCUUAGAGGUCUUGUCAGUCUAGCAGGCGUGACUAGCUUGAGGCAGGAAGAAAUCUAAGUAGGUGGCAUAGCUUGAAGAAAUAAGGAAUUCAGACUACUUUUUCUUCUGCUCUCCUCCUAUGUGCUGCUUAGAUUUGUGAUGCUACUCAAUUGCUUCUAGGCAGCUGUCUGUGUGACCACUAUGAGAUAACAAGGAAUUGUUCAUCCUGUUACAGGUGAAUGUCUGAAGUUCAUCACGCACCUUAAGGAGAGGCAGGAAGGAAAGAGUCUGAAAUGGGGUUGAUGAAAGCUUGUGUUAAUUGAGCCAAGGUGUACCUAAAAAAGGAUAGUUGUUAGGCUCUCUGUAGCCUGGUGAUACCUAUAGCUAAGCAAAAAAAAAAAAGUUUUCCACUGGGUAUGACCAUGAUGUAACUCUUUCAAAAAAAAAAGUAUCUGUAGCUUAAGAGAAUUCCUUUCUCUUCAUUUUUUUUUUUCCUCCAGACUUUGGAAGAAUUUGAUAUACAGAAGAACAAAAUGUUAUUAGAGCCUGCGGUACAAAUGUUGGAGCUUUAAACUAUCAGCCUAAAUGGGUCUUCAGAUGGAAUCAUGUAAUAAACACUUACAUAUGUUCUGUCUCUUGUGGGCAGUGCUGAGUUUGCAACUGAGCUAGUUUCCACUGAAAAAAUUCCAACUAAUGCUGCCCACAAAGCUCUGCCCAAACAACGUUCAUGCUUCUCCUACAGAACCACAUUUGACAUAAAGCUCUAGUGAACUCAACUUAUGGUCUGUAAGAUCUGCCUCUUGUUGCCUCCAAAUCUUUUCUAUAUAUGAAAGAUCAGCUGAAACAUGGGCAGUAUAUGCUGGAACAUUUGUCAGGUGUUUUAGAAGGCCGUGGCUGUGGCAGUGAGCAGUUCUGUGACUAGAUGGUGCACUUGCCACGUGGUAUAUGAGAACUGCAAUUAGAGAGGCAAUAGUUGCUCUUUACAAAGAUAUCUGUGUAAGCUCAGGUUGUGAUUAUAAUGUGCACAUCUGUCUUCGUCUUUGGAGAAGGAUUAUUUCAGCCGUGGGAUAUGUGGAAAUUCUGGGUUUUGAGCAUUGAAACCAUUAAUGGCAUAUAUUCAGUACAACUUAAAAUAGGGAAAAAAAAAAGUACAGUAUGUCUGUCCAUAUAUUCAGCUACAAUUUAUAUUGCCCGAUUUGCAGAUUUGCAAUUACACUGUACUUAAACUUGCCUGACAAUUCUCUUUCUAGGAGCCUGUGUUGGGGUUGCAAUAGCAAUGCCUGAUGCAAAUCAUCUCUGCUCAGGUUUCCCAUGCUCAGUUUCUGGCUCAGACUAAUGUUGUUUUAAGUCUCAGCAAAAAAAAAAAAAAAGCUUGGUUUUCAAGGAUGAGAAUAGAUUGACUCUUCUGCUUUUUAUUUUAAAAAUAAUAAUCUGACAGUUGUGUUGAAGCUUAGCAGUUCAAUCUCAAAGGCUGCUCAUACAAAUUUUGUGUCCUUUUAACGUGAGUCUUAUUGGGGUUCCACACAUUUCUAGGUAUUAGUGCAACAGUUAAAACAAGUAAAUGCCAGAUUUAUUGGAAACAACUCAUCCCAAUGAAAGUCAAGCCUUUUAAAAGUAGUACAUCUCCUACAGGCCAGAGCUCUACCCUCCUAAAGUCUCAGGGCUUCUGGAUAAAAUUUACUGUCUCACAGAUAACGACUUAUUGUGCCUUAACUGGCCCUGUUACAGGCUUCAUGAAGCUGCCUAUCAGCUGCAAAUAAAGAAAAGCUAUUUGAGUUGUUUUGUCUUUGAGUCUCAGUGAAUGGAUGCCUUGUGUUUGCUGCAUGCUGACAGUUGCACAGAAUCUCAGGAUGCAGCUGGUUGCUGAGAUUAUUAUGCUGUAGAAGGGUCCAGAUUUCAGAGCCUGGAGUGUGACGGACCUGGGGUUCUUAUUCUGAAUUCUAUCCAUUGACAGGGGUGGACAUUUUAAGACUCUUAAAUGUAAAAUUUCAUAGCUUUCAGACAAACUUUCAAUAAAUAUUUUCUCAUGAAAAGGGCAAGUGGGAAGAAAGUACGCCUGCAGUACGAUUCAUUUUUUUAAUUUCUUUUUUUGAACUAAGAUUUCAUGAUAAAGCUUCUAGUCUGAAAUUAGAACUGAAACUGGAGCCAUAGAGGGCCUUAGGGUUGCAUACUCUUUGGAUGUGACUGCAUUCUUCUCAAAGUUCAGUGAGAAUAUUGUGUGAUUGCUGGGAUAUGCAAGCUUAGUACUUAACAAAGAGGCAUGCAUCACGCAUAUGGCAAACAUGUUUUGCCUUGACACAGAUCUGCUGGUGUGGCUCAAAAGGUUCAGCUGUAGCUCACUGCUCAUUUACCUAAAUGAGCAGAGGGCAUAUUUAAGAAGCGCAGUCUGGGGAAUCAAUUUCUACUUGUAACAGAGCAUUAUGACAUGAGAGAACAAAA